CGUCUCCCUCGCAUCCAUCGACAGGAGCUCCCCCAUGCCGACUCGAUUCCAACCCUAGCUGACCCGGCCGCCGCGCGCAUCUCCGGCGCUCCCGUCGGAUCCAUCUCCGGCGAGCCCGACCUCGUUCUCCGGUGAUCCCGCCCUCGUUCUCCCGCGAGCCCGCCCUCGCUCGCCCGCCUUCGGCCGCCCUCGCUCGCCCCGCCCCUCCAAGUGAUUCCGCCGCCACGGGGAUUCGUCGCCGCCACGGAGGUAAGAACUUCGCCGUCCCCCUCCACCAGACCGUAGUCGCCGUUCCCACUUCUAGGACCCCUAACCUCUGCUAUUCCCCAAUUUUCCAGGACAUUGCCGCCUGUGAACAAGGCUUUCUUCCCGGCCUCUGAUUCCUCUUCUCCAUCAAUUGCGCCUGGAAUUAGAAGGUGAAGGCGUUGUUCUUUUAUUUCCUCUUACCUGUUUCUCUCAUCCUCUCAUGUAUGUUGUGUGCAUGAAUUUGUUUGGUCUUGUACGUAUAUCACAAUGCAAUUUGAUGUGACAACAGAAUGGUAUUUCUGUAGUAUGGUUAUCGGGCUAUGUCGUGAACCUAUAGUGUAAGAACACUUGUUUUGAUGUGACUGUUUAAAACAUUUUGCGGGCUGCUCGUAUGGCUUUUUAAAGUAUUGUGAUAUGAUUAUUCAUGUUCAAAGCUGGGUUAUCAAAAUGAUUAAUUGCUGCGGGUUCAUUUUCUAGAGCAAACAGGUCGUGUGUUUGAUGUAUGUACACAACAC
rnacentral:lncRNA from 1 species